GGGUUUAGCUCAGUUGGUAGAAUGCUUGCCUUGUAUGCACAAUGCCCUGGGUUCAAGCCCCAGCACCACA
rnacentral:tRNA from 1 species